rnacentral:rRNA from 1 species
AUGCCGCUGGGCAAGUACUACUGCGACUACUGCGACAAGGAGUUCCAGGACACCGCCGCCGCCCGCAGGCGCCACCUCCAGGGCGCCCAGCACCACCGCGCCCGCGCCCUCUGGUACGACUCCGUCCGCCGCCAAGAGUCCCACGGCGGCGCAUCUCCCCUCCUCCAGCCCGACGGCGCUAUCCUCGGCCAGGGCGUCUGCAACCACUUCGUCCGCACGGGAACAUGCAAGUUUGGGGAUGCGUGCAGGUACUUCCAUCCGAAGCCACAUGCUGUGAACCCAGCAUUUGCUCCGUCUGGGCCUGUUCCAGGAGCAAUGGGGCAACAGUCUAAUUUUCUUGGAACUCAACCAAAUUUUGUUGGAUAUCAGGCGAUGGAAGGAAAUUCUUUCUCAGGGAACAUACUAAGGGGCCACACUUCUUGGGGCAACUUACCUCCAUCGCUAUAA